GCUGGGAGAAUGCAAGGCACUGUGGUAAUGCCAAGGUUGCGGACAUGAAUGAGACAUGAGGCUCCUGAUUGUACACUCCUGGGUGGCAUUGCUGUGUACACGUGUUACCAGGGACCAGGGCAGAC